AUGUGAUUGUAAAUUACACAAUAUGACACAUACAUCACUCUGCUCCAUCAGCUGACCGAACCCAUGCCGCGUCAUCCUGGGGCCUAGGUGAUGGGGGUUGUGGUCAUACAGAACCGCGUUUGGGAAGGCUAGAUAGACUGCUGGAUUUCAUCUUCAAUGCGGUCACCCCCUAUCUGUAUGUGGAGGAGGUGUGUGAGUUCGCCAUCCCAGAACCCCUGUGUGCCCAGUACAAGAGACCUGACAAGUAGGAAGCCAUCGCUGGAUUUGUGUCCUCCUUCAGCAAUCUAGGGUGAAAGUGAAGACUCUGGGCUCAAUAGGUUCUUGCACCAUAGUCACCGGAAGAGAUGGCGUAUGCCUGUGUGACCACACCAAGGUGUUCAAAGAUGGCAGAUGCCUGCUGACAGAUGACAGUUUUGUCCUGGUGGGCUCCUUCUUGUCCUUCUUCGUCCCUCUCACCAUAAUGGUGGUAAGCUCAGUUGUUCUCUUCUGGUGUUACUAGCAGAGAUGGAAAAGGAAGUGACACUCACCAUCAGCGCCCUGCAGACUGACGCUACCAUCUGCCUGGACCAGCUGUUCCGGCCCAAGUGAAGUGCCACCCUGACCCUGGGCUUCUUCCUUCGGGUUCUCACUCUCCUGCUCUUCUUCAGGCGUUCACUAAGCCGUGACACAGGAGGGGUUGGCAGGGCAGAAGGCCUCCCAGAUUCUGGUCAUGGUCUUCUUCCUGAUCAUGGUCAUGUUUUGUCCCUUCGUCGGGGGGGGGGGGGGGGGGGGCUGCUGAGAGUGUUUGUGUUGGUGGCUACCUCUCCUCAGCCUCUGGUAUACACUCUGGUCAAAAUACAGUGCAGCAGCAUUCUCCUGCUACAUAAGCUGUCAGUGGUCAGUUCUGGUCUACUCAAGGUGGUGGCUCUCCCAUAGACACCAAUGCGGCAGCAGCUGGGGCUGGUCUACUUAGCUCAUUUGACCUCCACUGACACAGAAAACAUUUGUAUGUGUCACUUCCUUUUCCAUCUCUGCUAGUAACACCAGAAGAGAACAACUGAGCCAAUGCUAAAGUAUCAGCAACAGCCAAGGGGGCACGCGGAGAUACGUUUCCCACCAAAACAUUCAUACACCUAGCUGGGUACCAGUCUGUUUAGCUAACGUUCCACUACUUGUACUCUGUGUCAUGUUUCAAUUUUGUUUUGCAAUGACACAGAGUUCAAGGAGUGGAAUGUUGGCAAAACAGACACCAUAUACAAAUCAACUGUAUAUUUGUAUAUAUGUCAUAAGGCGCUGCUGCGCCUUCUUCACCACGCUGUCUGUGUGGUUGGACCAAUUCAGUUUGUCCGUGAUGUGUACGCCGAGGAAGUCCUCCUCCCUGUAGGCCGUCUCGUCGUUGUUGGUAAUCAAGCCUACCACUGUAGUGUCGUCUGCAAACUUGAUGAUUGAGUUGGAGGCGUGCAUGGCCAUGCAGUCGUGGGUGAACAUGGAGUACAGGAGAGGGCUCAGAACACACCCUUGUGGGGCCCCAGUGUUGAGGAUCAGUGGGGUGGAGAUGUUGUUACCUACCCUCACCACCUGGGGGCGGCCCGUCAGGAAGUCCAGUACCCAGUUGCACAGGGCGGGGGUCGAGACCCUGGGUCUCGAGCUUGAUGACGAGUUUGGAGGGUACCAUGGUGUUAAAUGCUGAGCUGUAGUCGAUGAACAGCAUUCUCACAUAGGUAUUCCUAUGUGUCUCAAGACCCCACCAAUACACAUUUCUGAAUGUUAUACUGCAUCAUGGAAAACACUAGAUCCAAAAAUAGCUCUGUUUGUUCGGCUAAUGACAACAACAAAAAUAACAUACAUAUUUAUUUACGUACUGUAUGUGCACAAUCAUAUCCAGCCAUCAACUUUGUCUUGAGAAAAUGACUUGAGGCAUAUUAUUUCUCAAGUUCCUCGUUGGGGAACUUGUUGCACCUUCUGGUAACCUGUGGGGAAAAGUAUACAUUUAAUAGGCCACUCAGUUUAUAAUGACAUCUAUUUCACAUUAAAUCAAUGAUAGUGUAUAAUAUUGAAUACAAACGCACACUAGGGACUUCCAUACAGCAAAGGUUUUCUGCAGCAGUGCCGGUGGGCUAGUCUGGCAGUGCCAGCGACCACUGCAGAGUUUUCUGAGCAAAAAAAUAAACAUUUAAAAACUUUUUUCCCCAUUGUUGGACAUAAAAGACUAUAAAAACACCAGGAAAUCUUCUCCAAGUGAUUUUAAUUGAAGAAAUCUGUUCCCAAGUAUUCUCACGCAUAAUAGAGACGUGAUCGUAUAUAAAUGUAAGCAAGGUUUGAAAUUAUCUGUUUUGGCUUCUUGUGGUCAAUUUGCAGUCUACAAAUGAUUUGUUCUUGUGUUUCAGCCUCUCCACCAUCCGCUCAAGAACAAAUCGGCCCACGGCUGAAUCUAGUUGAUGAUCCCUGUCCUAAUCUCUGGAUUUCACAUGAUCGGGAAUACAGAUAUGCAGCUGUUGGUCACAGAUACCUUAAAAAAAAAUAGGGGUGUGGAUCAGAAACCAGUCAGUAUCUGGUGUGACCACCAUUUGCCUCAUGCAGCACGACACAUCUUCUUCGCAUAGAGUUGAUCAGACUGUUGAUUGUUGCCUGUGAAUGUUGUCCCACUCCUCUUCAAUGGCUGUGCUAAAUUGCUGAAUAUUGGCAGAUACCUUUACGUGUCGUACACAUUGAUACAGAGCAUCCCAAACAUGCUCAAUGGGUGACAUGUCUGGUGAGUAUACAGGCCAUGGAAGAACUGGGACAUUUUCAGCUUACAGGAAUUGUGUACAGAUCCUUGCGACAUGGGGUUGUGCAUUAUCAUGCUGAAACACGAGUUGAUGGCAUGACAAUGCGCCUCAGGAUCUCAUCACGGUAUCUCUGUGCGAUCAAAUUGCCAUCAAUAAAAUGCAAUUGUGUUUGUUUUCCAUAGCUUUUACCUGCCUAUACCAUAACCCCACUGCCACCAUGGGGAACUCUGUUCACAAUGUUGACAUCAGCAAACCACUCGCCCACACAAGGCCAUACACGCUGUCUGCCAUCUGUCCUUUACAGUUGAAACCGGGAUUCAUCUGUGAAGAGCACACUUCUCCAGUGUGCCAGUGGCCAUCAAAG